ensembl:miRNA
CCUCAGUAAGACCAAGCUCAGUGUGCCAUUUCCUUGUCUGUAGGCAUGUGUAUGUGCCCUUGAGUUGGCCAUCUGAGUGAGGGCCUGCUUAUUCCA